rnacentral:tRNA from 1 species
GCCGAGGUGGCAGAGUGGCUAUGCAUUCGGCUGCAGACCGGAUCUACGUGAGUUCGAUUCUCACCCUCGGCU